CACGUAGGGGGCAAGCGUUGUCCGGAUUUAUUGGGCGUAAAGAGCUCGUAGGCGGUUCGGUAAGUCGGGUGUGAAACCUCCAGGCUCAACCUGGAGACGCCACCCGAUACUGCUGUGACUAGAGUCCGGUAGGGGAGCGUGGAAUUCCUGGUGUAGCGGUGAAAUGCGCAGAUAUCAGGAGGAACACCGGUGGCGAAGGCGCCACUCUGGGCCGAAACUGACGCUGAGGAGCGAAAGCGUGGGUAGCAAACAGG
rnacentral:rRNA from 1 species